rnacentral:rRNA from 1 species
CCUACGGGUGGCAGCAGUAGGGAAUCUUUCACAAUGGGCGAAAGCCUGAUGGAGCAACGCCGCGUGCAGGAUGAAGGCCUUCGGGUUGUAAACUGCUUUUAUAAGCGAGGAAUAUGAUGGUAACUUAUGAAUAAGGAUCGGCUAACUACAUCCCAGCAGCCGCGGUCAUACGUAGGAUCCGAGCAUUAUCCGGAGUGACUGGGUGUAAAGAGUUGCGUAGGUGGGAUAAUAAGUAGCUAGUGAAAUCUGGUGGCUCAACCAUUCAGACUAUUAGCGAAACGGUUAAGCUCGAGACCGUUAGGGGUAAGUGGAAUUUGUGGUGUAGGAGUGAAAGGCGUAGAGAUUAGAAAGAACACCAAUAGCGUAGGCAGGUUACUGGGACGGUUCUGACACUAAGGCACGAAAGCGUAGGGAGCAAACGGGAUUAGAUACCCUAGUAGUC